CUCCUUUGAAGUUAGCGGCGGACGCGGUGAGUAACACGUGGGUAACCUACCUAUAAGACUGGGAUAACUUCGGGAAACCGGAGCUAAUACCGGAUAACAUUUAGAACCGCAUGGUUCUAAAGUGAAAGAUGGUUUUGCUAUCACUUAUAGAUGGACCCGCGCCGUAUUAGCUAGUUGGUAAGGUAACGGCUUACCAAGGCGACGAUACGUAGCCGACCUGAGAGGGUGAUCGGCCACACUGGAACUGAGACACGGUCCAGACUCCUACGGGAGGCAGCAGUAGGGAAUCUUCCGCAAUGGGCGAAAGCCUGACGGAGCAACGCCGCGUGAGUGAUGAAGGGUUUCGGCUCGUAAAACUCUGUUAUUAGGGAAGAACAAAUGUGUAAGUAACUGUGCACAUCUUGACGGUACCUAAUCAGAAAGCCACGGCUAACUACGUGCCAGCAGCCGCGGUAAUACGUAGGUGGCAAGCGUUAUCCGGAAUUAUUGGGCGUAAAGCGCGCGUAGGCGGUUUCUUAAGUCUGAUGUGAAAGCCCACGGCUCAACCGUGGAGGGUCAUUGGAAACUGGGAAACUUGAGUGCAGAAGAGGAAAGUGGAAUUCCAUGUGUAGCGGUGAAAUGCGCAGAGAUAUGGAGGAACACCAGUGGCGAAAGCGACUUUCUGGUCUGUAACUGACGCUGAUGUGCGAAAGCGUGGGGAUCAAACAGGGAUUAGAUACCCUGGUAGUCCACGCCGUAAAACGAUGAGUGCUAAGUGUUAGGGGGGUUUCCGCCCCUUAGUGCUGCAGCUAACGCAUUAAGCACUCCGCCUGGGGAGUACGACCGCAAGGUUGAAACUCAAAGGAAUUGACGGGGACCCGCACAAGCGGUGGAGCAUGUGGUUUAAUUCGAAGCAACGCGAAGAACCUUACCAAAUCUUGACAUCCUUUGAAAACUCUAGAGAUAGAGCUUUCCCCUUCGGGGGACAAAGUGACAGGUGGUGCAUGGUUGUCGUCAGCUCGUGUCGUGAGAUGUUGGGUUAAGUCCCGCAACGAGCGCAACCCUUAAGCUUAGUUGCCAUCAUUAAGUUGGGCACUCUAGGUUGACUGCCGGUGACAAACCGGAGGAAGGUGGGGAUGACGUCAAAUCAUCAUGCCCCUUAUGAUUUGGGCUACACACGUGCUACAAUGGACAAUACAAAGGGCAGCUAAACCGCGAGGUCAUGCAAAUCCCAUAAAGUUGUUCUCAGUUCGGAUUGUAGUCUGCAACUCGACUACAUGAAGCUGGAAUCGCUAGUAAUCGUAGAUCAGCAUGGUACGGUGAAUACGUUCCCGGGUCUUGUAC
rnacentral:rRNA from 1 species